UACAGGGUCACAACCAAGUGGUGGAGUC
rnacentral:piRNA from 1 species